AUGAAGGAUUUCAGGGCUAGCAAAUAUGUUAAAGAUAGAUACAGAGAAAGGCGAUUAGGGGAGUGGAUUCCGAUAAUGAUGCGAAAAAAAUUCCUUUGGGUCGAACACAUACUCUUGAAAGAAAGCAAGAAGCUUCUUGGUAAUGGAGAUGGUUCUCUUAUAUUUGGUAGGAGUCAGAAAAAAUCCAGCAUGGAAAAACACCACAGUCAACAUGGUGUAAUUAUGAUGAUCCAAACGAGUAUUCCUGGACUUCUGAUUGUUUCUCACUGCCAUGACCAAUACGGGAUGAUGGUGGCUUCUUCAAAUAUGUGCAAGUGUGAAAUGAUCGAAUGCCGCUAA
rnacentral:rRNA from 1 species